UACGAAGGGGGCUAGCGUUGCUCGGAAUCACUGGGCGUAAAGGGUGCGUAGGCGGGUUCUUAAGUCAGAGGUGAAAUCCUGGAGCUCAACUCCAGAACUGCCUUUGAUACUGAGAGUCUUGAGUAUGACAGAGGUGAGUGGAACUGCGAGUGUAGAGGUGAAAUUCGUAGAUAUUCGGAAGAACACCAGUGGCGAAGGCGGCUCACUGGUCCGGUACUGACGCUGAGGUGCGAAAGCGUGGGGAGCAAACAGG
rnacentral:rRNA from 1 species